AGCUCCCGGAAGACGCCGAUUUUAGCGUUUCCAAGGAGAUUAAAAUGCCUGGAGAACACGGCUUACUGAAGGGAGCGCCUAAGGAGGAUUGAAGGACCUUGAAGGAUUGGAAUGUAUAGACAUGAAGAAGGGACAAAAAAAGCCAUUAUCUUCUCUGUGUGAAGAUUCUGAAGAUCUUUCACCCUCCAUCCCUGUUCUCUUGGUCAAGUUGAACCCUGUAAGGAUUUGGAAGACUGCAGUCCAGUGGCCUGAAAUCCCGUUCAGCUGCAGCUCAGCUCUUUGAACAGCCGAGGGGAUCUCCCACAGGAUGGUGUGAGGAAAACUCUAGGAGAGGUGCUGCUGCUGCUGCUAAGUCGACUCUGUGCGACCCCAUAGACGGCAGCCCACCAG